UCAGAGGUUAAAGAGCACUGACU
rnacentral:piRNA from 1 species